AUUGAACGCUGGCGGCAUGCUUUACACAUGCAAGUCGAACGGUAACAGGGAGCUUGCUCCGCUGACGAGUGGCGAACGGGUGAGUAAUGCGUCGGAACGUGCCGAGUAGUGGGGGAUAACGCAUCGAAAGGUGUGCUAAUACCGCAUACGAACUGAGGUUGAAAGUGGGGGACCUUCGGGCCUCACGCUAUUCGAGCGGCCGACGUCUGAUUAGCUAGUUGGUGAGGUAAAGGCUCACCAAGGCGACGAUCAGUAGCGGGUCUGAGAGGAUGAGCCGCCAGACUGGGACUGAGACACGGCCCAGACUCCUACGGGAGGCAGCAGUGGGGAAUUUUGGACAAUGGGCGCAAGCCUGAUCCAGCCAUGCCGCGUGUCUGAAGAAGGCCUUCGGGUUGUAAAGGACUUUUGUCCGGGAGCAAAUGCUGGUGGCUAACAUCCACCGGAGCUGAGAGUACCGGAAGAAUAAGCACCGGCUAACUACGUGCCAGCCGCCGCUGUAAUAC
rnacentral:rRNA from 1 species